CCGGGAGACGCCGAGGACGCUGGGCCGCGCCGGCGGCGCGCGGGGCCGACCACCGCUCGUCCUGCGCGGGUCCCUGCCCUCCCCAGCCCUCCCACCCCGUCCCACCACGCGCCCCAGCCCGGGUCCGCGGCCACCCCGGCCAGCGCGGUCGGGGAGCCUUGCGCAGGCGCGGCCGGAACAUCGGGGUGGGCGCGGAUCCGGGGGUCUGGCUCCCUCGCCCGGCUGCGCUGGGCUGCGCUGAGCGAGGGGGGCCUGUACAUCCUUAGGCCUCCAGGGAGAUAAAUAUCCACAACUAGGGGCAGGAGGCGCCGUGCGGAGAGCGUUGGAUUGAGACCCAAGUCAAGAUCUCAGGCGUAUUACUGCUUGUGUAACCUCGGGCAGUUGACAUUAUCUCUUGGAAGCUUAGCUUCUUUAAAGUAAAAUGGGUAUUGAAAACCUAUAAUGAACCGCUCAGACUUAGUAAAUCAUCCGUCUACUCAGAGUGUGUAGGGGGCUCGUGGCCCCUCUACUGAACUGGCCGAUAAGAGAGGGCUGCCUGGAGCUCGGGGGUCUUGGCUUCUCAUAACGUCUUGACUGUCCUCGGACAGAUUGGGAAUGAGAGUAGAGAACGGAUUCAAAUUAAUUGUGGUUUCCUUCGGUUUCCACCUGUCUAAGCCCAGACUCCUGCCUGCGAAGGAUUGGCAAUGCUUGACUUGGUGCCACUGAAAUGCAGCUGCUCCUGUGAAAAAGAAUUGUUUAUUCUUAGACUUCUGGAAGACUAUGGGUCAUUCCUCUCUACUGAGGGCUCUUGGAAGACAUGUGAGGAGGAGAAGCAGGCCCUUCUUUGAAAACCUAUAGUCAAGAGAACUAAUGGAGGAGGCCAGAUCCACAUCUUUCAUGUGAAGCCUGUUGGAGCUGGUCCAGGAGAGUUUCCCAGAGGAUGUGAGCUUUUAGCAGAUUCAUUGGGAGCAUUGCAUCCGAUGAGAGUGCCCAGUCUUCAUGCUGUGCUCUGAUAGGAUGCUGGAGGAAAGGUGAAGGGACUGAAAAAACCCUCCAGCAUAGUUUUCACUUGAAAUGAAAACAUUUGAGCUACAGCAGAUGCAGAAAGAUGUCUUAUCUGAAUUUCUCUUAUCUAAAUAAAGCAGAGCUUUAUGAGAGUCACCUGCCACAACUGCCUCCCUCAUCCUCCAGGAAAAUUGCCAGGGAGGCAGGCUCUGUCCUUGGACACAUGGACAUUCCAAAAAAAUUGUGUUAACAGGUCUCAUCAGGGUCUUCCAUCCUUUGAAGCCCUAAACCUCCCUUUUUAAGCUGAUGUAUAAACGUUUAUCUCUACCUGUUUGAAGAGUUACUCACUCCUGAGUGCUCUCAUAUAUAUGUGAAUAUACUUUGUUACCUUUUGCACCUAAGUUGGUAGAGGAAAAGUUUUCCUCCCAACACAGGACACUGUCCCUUUACCUGCUGAUCUGCGCAGGCAGGAGGCUAGAGGCAAAGGCAUAGCUUAGCCCCAAGCAGACACUGAAAACCUGCUCACCCUGGAGGGCCCGAGGGGGAACCAGCAGCCCAUUGCUGCUCUUCUAGAAACCUUUCUGCCGUCCUGUUGUCUUCCCUCUUCCCUCCAGGUGGCCCUGGGCUAUCUUGCCACUCCCCCUCUCCAGGGCUCUGGGGACCCAGGUGACCAUCAUCAACUGGCCACCCAGCAGAUGCUUCCCUAAGACCAACUGCCCCAGCUCUGUUCCCCUCCCCCAUCCCGCCUCUUUCUUUCCCCAGUGUCCUACCAAUCUGCUCUGCCACGCUCCGCUCCCGCUUUGGUCUCACAUCCCUCUGGAGUGAUAUUGUGAUGGAAAUGAGGGAGAGGAUGCAGGAGCAAGCAGCAAAGAUUUACCGCUUCCACAGGGUUUCCAUUAAAAUCCCUGACAAUCAGUUAUUUAUGAAAGGGCUGGCUGCAGUGGGAGCUAAUAGGCCAGAGCCUGGCACUGCUGUCCGUUCAGGGGUGAUCACAGGAACAAACGCAGGGUGAACAGUAGAGCUAUCCCACUGAAGAGCAAAGGCGGAUUUGACCCCAUCAGACAUCCCCUCCAGGGCCAGAGAGCAACAGCCAGGAAGUCAGAGAGCAUCCGUGAUUUGUGAUUUGUGCCGGGCAAACCAGAAACAAACAUCCACAUAGCAAACACUGAGGGUUUUUCUGAGCCUGGUGUGAAAGGCUGAAGCAAUGUGUUGGAGCGUCCUUCCAGUCAUCAAAAAACUUAGACUGGGUCCCCUCCUCUGAGCUCCAACUCAGAGGCAAGAGUGUGCAAAAAACGCAGAUCUUAAGCUGCUGUUUUCAGUGUCUUUCUGUUCCUAAGGCACCACUUGACUAAAUAAAUCCCUCUGAAGGUUGUUGGCUCUACAGUUGACACGCA
rnacentral:lncRNA from 1 species